rnacentral:rRNA from 1 species
GAUGAACGCUAGCGGCAGGCCUAACACAUGCAAGUCGAGGGGUAGAAGGAGCUUGCUCCUUUGAGACCGGCGCACGGGUGCGUAACGCGUAUGCAAUCUACCUUGUACAGGGGAAUAGCCCAGAGAAAUUUGGAUUAAUGCCCCAUAGUAUAUAACCUUCGCAUGUUGGUUAUAUUAAAGUUCCAACGGUACAAGAUGAGCAUGCGUCCCAUUAGUUAGUUGGUAAGGUAACGGCUUACCAAGACGAUGAUGGGUAGGGGUCCUGAGAGGGAGAUCCCCCACACUGGUACUGAGACACGGACCAGACUCCUACGGGAGGCAGCAGUGAGGAAUAUUGAUCAAUGGUCGCAAGACUGAACCAGCCAUGCCGCGUGCAGGAAGACGGUCCUAUGGAUUGUAAACUGCUUUUAUACAGGAAGAAACCCUCCCACGUGUGGGAGCUUGACGGUACUGGAGGAAUAAGGAUCGGCUAACUCCGUG